GCUGCUGUCAUGUCUGCCCCCGUGUGCCUGUCUCCUCACAGGGGACGCUAGUCCUGUGGGUGUCUGGACGGUACCCGUGGCCACCAGACGCCGGCGACUUUGGUCCCUGCUCCUUUCGCUUCCUCCUCCCCCGUGGGACCCUCGCGGGACCCCGAAUUGGGUCCAGUGAUGCCGGGGGUGACGUGGACUCCGGAGCGGGCGCUUCUGAGGGGUUUCUCCACGGAGGCCGAGCGACUGUUGUGCAAGCAGGAGGGGCGCCUUGGCUCAGACAUUGGAGUUUUCUUAGACUUGCUGUUGGAAGGGAGCUAUGAAGCCAUGUUCUUACAUUCAUUGACACGAAAUAUAUUCAACUCCACAAUGAUGACUGGAGAAAAGAUUGACAGCUACCUGGAGAAGCAGAUAGUAAAUUUCCUGGAUUGCUCUACGGAUUUGGAAGACUUUGGAAGGGGAGAAAAGAUGAAGUCACACCCAUCGUGAAGCUGAUGAGUGGUACAGCACAGCUAUCGAGUUUUGUUUUGCUUUUUAAGCAUACUAUCCUGUCUUCGUCAUGUACUAGAAGUGACCCAGGAGAAGCCCGGACUGGGAACGCAGCGCUGGGGGAACACAGAGAUCCCGAUACAUCUUCCCCUUCAAAGAUGUCUGUCCCACAUCCACAUCUGUGGUAGAGGAAUAAAGAUGCAACGUGACUCGCUAGCCUAAGCCCCUGCAAUUGUGACCUCCUCUACCACGAUGGACCAAUGGACCAUAACCUUGGGUGAUGGAUCGUGAGGACUAAAGUUAACCUGUAAGCUCCACUUGCCCAAGGACAGAUAACUUCCUGGAAUGCUGGGGGCUGUUGUUCACGUCAGACAACAAGCCAAGUGUUUUCAGUAAACAAAAUUGGUUGCCCCAACUACACAAGAUGUGCUUGAUCACAAGGUAGGCAGGAGGUACAUGGGCAGGAUGUACUCAGGAUGUAUGCUUGCCCCUGAUUGGACGAAGGCACCAUUCUCUGGGAAUCCCGGGUGUGGACCUGGCCAGUGUCCAUCUUUCCUGUCAACAUUUAUUAAAGUUUGCUUUAAUGAGGCAA